rnacentral:rRNA from 1 species
GAUGAACGCUAGCGGGAGGCCUAAUACAUGCAAGUCGAACGGUAAGGUCCCUUCGGGGAUACACGAGUGGCGGACGGGUGCGUAACGCGUACGAAACAUACCUUCAACAGGGAGAUACCUCCGGGAAACUGGAAAUAAUACCCCAUAGUAUUGAGAUAUCGCAUGAUAUUUCAAUUAAAGCUUUGGCGGUUGAAGAUUGUCGUGCGUCUGAUUAGCUAGUUGGUGAGGUAACGGCUCACCAAGGGCGACGAUCAGUAGCUGGUCUGAGAGGAUGAUCAGCCACACUGGAACUGAGACACGGUCCAGACUCCUACGGGAGGCAGCAGUAGGGAAUAUUGGACAAUGGGCGGAAGCCUGAUCCAGCCAUCCCGCGUGUAGGAAUAAGGCCCGUAUGGGUUGUAAACUA